rnacentral:rRNA from 1 species
GUGCCAGCCGCCGCGGUAAUACGGAAGGUCCGGGCGUUAUCCGGAUUUAUUGGGUUUAAAGGGAGCGCAGACGGGCUGUUAAGCGUGACGUGAAAUCUGGGGGCUCAACCUUCAGUUGCGUCGCGAACUGGCGGCCUUGAGUGGGCGGUAGGUACGCGGAAUUCGUGGUGUAGCGGUGAAAUGCUUAGAUAUCACGAGGAACCCCGAUUGCGAAGGCAGCGUACCGCAGCCUUACUGACGUUCAUGCUCGAAGGUGCGGGUAUCGAACAGGAUUAGAUACCCUGGUAGUCCGCACGGUAAACGAUGGAUGCCCGCUGUAUGCGACAUACUGUAUGCGGCCAAGCGAAAGCAUUAAGCAUCCCACCUGGGGAGUACGCCGGCAACGGUGAAACUCAAAGGAAUUGACGGGGGCCCGCACAAGCGGAGGAACAUGUGGUUUAAUUCGAUGAUACGCGAGGAACCUUACCCGGGCUUGAACUGCAGAGGAAAGAUCCAGAGAUGGUGAUGCCCUUCGGGGCCUCUGCGGAGGUGCUGCAUGGUUGUCGUCAGCUCGUGCCGUGAGGUGUCGGCUUAAGUGCCAUAACGAGCGCAACCCCUCUCGCGAGUUGCCAUCAGGUGAUGCUGGGGACUCUCGCGACACUGCCACCGCAAGGUGUGAGGAAGGUGGGGACGACGUCAAAUCAGCACGGCCCUUACGUCCGGGGCUACACACGUGUUACAAUGGGGGGCACAGAGCGCUAGGGGCCGGCAACGUCCCCUGAAUCGUGAAAUCCCCCCUCAGUUCGGACUGGGGUCUGCAACCCGACCCCACGAAGCUGGAUUCGCUAGUAAUCGCGCAUCAGCCAUGGCGCGGUGAAUACGUUCCCGGGCCUUGUACACACCGCCCGU